AACGAACGCUGGCGGCAUGCCUAACACAUGCAAGUCGAACGAGACCUUCGGGUCUAGUGGCGCACGGGUGCGUAACGCGUGGGAACCUGCCUUUAGGUUCGGAAUAACUCAGAGAAAUUUGAGCUAAUACCGGAUAAUGUCUUCGGACCAAAGAUUUAUCGCCUUUAGAUGGGCCCGCGUAAGAUUAGCUAGUUGGUGGGGUAAAGGCCUACCAAGGCGACGAUCUUUAGCUGGUCUGAGAGGAUGAUCAGCCACACUGGGACUGAGACACGGCCCAGACUCCUACGGGAGGCAGCAGUGGGGAAGUAUUGGACAAUGGGCGAAAGCCUGAUCCAGCAAUGCCGCGUGAGUGAUGAAGGCCUUAGGGUUGUAAAAGCUCUUUUACCCGAGAUGAUAAUGACAGUAUCGGGAGAAUAAGCUCCGGCUAACUCCGUGCCAGCAGCCGCGGUAAU
rnacentral:rRNA from 1 species